AGAGUUUGAUCUGGCUCAGAUUGAACGCUGGCGGAAUGCUUUACACAUGCAAGUCGAGCGGCAGCGCGGGGCAACCUGGCGGCGAGCGGCGAACGGGUGAGUAAUAUAUCGGAACGUGUCCUGUAGUGGGGGAUAGCUCGGCGAAAGCCGGAUUAAUACCGCAUACGAUCUAUGGAUGAAAGUGGGGGACCCUCGGGCCUCACGCUAUAGGAGCGGCCGAUAUCUGAUUAGCUAGUUGGUGGGGUAAAGGCCUACCAAGGCGAUGAUCAGUAGCUGGUCUGAGAGGAUGAUCAGCCACACUGGGACUGAGACACGGCCCAGACUCCUACGGGAGGCAGCAGUGGGGAAUUUUGGACAAUGGGCGCAAGCCUGAUCCAGCCAUUCCGCGUGAGUGAAGAAGGCCUUCGGGUUGUAAAGCUCUUUCAGCAGGAACGAAACGGGUCACGUUAAUACCGUGAUCUAAUGACGGUACCUGAAGAAGAAGCACCGGCUAACUACGUGCCAGCAGCCGCGGUAAUACGUAGGGUGCGAGCGUUAAUCGGAAUUACUGGGCGUAAAGCGUGCGCAGGCGGUUUGUUAAGACAGGUGUGAAAUCCCCGGGCUUAACCUGGGAAUUGCGCUUGUAACUGGCAAGCUAGAGUGUGUCAGAGGGAGGUAGAAUUCCACGUAGCAGUGAAAUGCGUAGAGAUGUGGAGGAAUACCGAUGGCGAAGGCAGCCUCCUGGGAUAACACUGACGCUCAUGCACGAAAGCGUGGGGAGCAAACAGGAUUAGAUACCCUAGUAGUCC
rnacentral:rRNA from 1 species